UACGGGUAAGUUAGUACCUUAGAGUAUCAAGGAACUCUUAAAAACCUCUCUAAGCUUUAAGGCUACUUCGCUUAGGAACCAGUCUUUUACGGGUAGACUCACACCUUAGAGUAUCAAGGGCACUCUUAAGAACCUCUAACUUUUACGGGUAAGUUAAUACCUUAGAGUAUCAAGGAACUCUUAAAAACCUCUGAAAUCUUUAAAGGUAGACUCAACCUAAGAGUUUUCUCGGAAACUCUAUAAAAUCAAACUAGAGCUUUAUGGUUGAGCUCACAAACCUUCUCUAACACUUUGGUACUAUUGAGACAACCCUCUCAACCAAAGUGGACACACACAAGAAGUGAUUAGAGGAGUGGAAUAUUAAAGCAAACAACACUUCUUACUUGUAAAGAUGAACAAGAAGAUUAGAAGAAGAAGUUGGAGAGCUUUUGAAGCUUUGGAAAGCUAGAACACUUGAGCACUUGAAAGCUUGGAAGCUUGGAGGCAAAAACGUGUGGGCAAGUGUGGAGUGAAAGCUCUUGAGUUUGCUUGUAGUGUGGUGAGUGAAAAUGGG
rnacentral:lncRNA from 1 species